rnacentral:rRNA from 1 species
UGGGGAAUAUUGCACAAUGGGCGGAAGCCUGAUGCAGCAACGCCGCGUGAGGGAUGACGGCCUUCGGGUUGUAAACCUCUUUUAGCAGGGAAGAAGCGAGAGUGACGGUACCUGCAGAAAAAGCGCCGGCUAACUACGUGCCAGCAGCCGCGGUAAUACGUAGGGCGCAAGCGUUAUCCGGAAUUAUUGGGCGUAAAGAGCUCGUAGGCGGUUUGUCGCGUCUGCUGUGAAAUCCCGAGGCUCAACCUCGGGCCUGCAGUGGGUACGGGCAGACUAGAGUGCGGUAGGGGAGAUUGGAAUUCCUGGUGUAGCGGUGGAAUGCGCAGAUAUCAGGAGGAACACCGAUGGCGAAGGCAGAUCUCUGGGCCGUAACUGACGCUGAGGAGCGAAAGGGUGGGGAGCAAACAGGCUUAGAUACCCUGGUAGUCCACCCGUAAACGUUGGGAACUAGUUGUGGGACCAUUCCACGGUUUCCGUGACGCAGCUAACGCAUUAAGUUCCCCGCCUGGGGAGUACGGCCGCAAGGCUAAAACUCAAAUGAAUUGACGGGGUCAUAGCUGUUUCCU